CCCCCCCGAAAAAACGAAAAAGAUUAAUGAGCCAAGAAGCAUCUUCUAUGACAGAAAAUGUGAUCGUCAUGACAACGAAGAAGAAUGAAUCUUCAAUUGCAUGUUUGGAGAGCUAUGUAUACCAAGAUAUAGAUGCCCCUACAUAUCCGUUGCCUCAAGAAUGAAAUGCAUUUCUACCAACUUUUAAGACUCAAAGUGCAAUUACUUAAAAAAUUGUUUUUAUGAUGAUUUGAACUAUUGCAGACGGUCAAGAUCGGCAUUGCGAAAUUGAAGUUUCAAGCCAUUUAAACGUAUGGGAUUCACUCGGCUUGGAUAUUAG
rnacentral:lncRNA from 1 species